rnacentral:tmRNA from 1 species
AACGAUAAUUGCACUACGCCCGUAGAAGACUUGGAUGAUAGCUAGAGGACCCGGGUUCAAUUCCCGGCACCUCCACUU